CACGUAGGGUGCGAGCGUUGUCCGGAAUUAUUGGGCGUAAAGAGCUCGUAGGCGGUGUGUCGCGUCGGCCGUGAAAACCUGCAGCUUAACUGUGGGCUUGCGGUCGAUACGGGCAUCACUGGAGUUCGGCAGGGGAGACUGGAAUUCCUGGUGUAGCGGUGAAAUGCGCAGAUAUCAGGAGGAACACCUAUGGCGAAGGCAGCUCGCUGGGACGUUACUGACGCUGGAGAACGCGAAAGCGUGGGGAGCAAACAGG
rnacentral:rRNA from 1 species